GACGAACGCUGGCGGAGUGCUUAACACAUGCAAGUCGAACGAAGUGGCGAACGGGUGAGUAAUACGUGGGUAACCUGCCCUACUUUUUGGGAUAAGCCUUGGAAACGGGGUCUAAUACCGAAUAAAGGGGGAUGGCUCGCGGCCUAUCAGCUUGUUGGUGGGGUGAUGGCCUACCAAGGCGGGGACGGGUAGCCGGCAUGAGCGGGUGACCGGCCACAUUGGGACUGGGAUACGACCCAGACUCCUACGGUAGUCAGCCGUGGGUAAUAGUCGCCACUGGACCAAAGGCUGAUCCAGCACUUCUGUGUGCACUAUGAAGUUUUUCGGUAUGUAAAGUGCUUUCCGGUACCAACAGAAGAAGUGACGGCUAAAUACGUGCCAGCAGCCGCGGUAAUUC
rnacentral:rRNA from 1 species